UAUUUAAAUUAAUUUAAUUUGGGAGUUCCUGCCGAUGACUUGAUGUGCUGCUGCUCCUCCUCCUCCCCUCCUCCUACUGCUGCUGCCGGGCCUGCAAGCAAAGAAGAAAACCUUUAGCUUUCAGGUCUAUGGGAUUUAACAUUGGAGCUGCUCUUCGAUAGGAACGCAACCACUUGGGGCGCUGGUUUUCACUUUCCCUCCCUAUUGGUGGAUUGAACGUUCCACAAUGCAUUACGUCAGCUCAGCCGUGACGGGACACUUAUUCACAUAAGAGAUGGCAGCCGCAGCGACAGCAGGAGGGUCACCUGAAGAGCAACCACACAACUGGACCAAUGAAGAAACCAGGGCCCUGAUUCAGUGGCGAGCGGAUAAUGAGAAGCUCUUCACUGGCCGGAGGAACUCCUCCAAAAAUGGAUGGGAGUAAGUAGUUCUAGGCAUAGCACUGCUACAUAUUUGUCGUUUAGCACACACUUUAAUUCCAAAGUGGUUUACUGAGGAUUAUCAUUCAAGAUUAACAUUCACAGGGAUCUUAAGUCGCAGUACUACAAUAGGUCUACAAAUACUACACAUUAGUCAGUUAUUGCUGGUUAGGUAUGGCCUACUGUUAUUCUCCCCAGAGUGUUUGUGUCCACUGCUUCAAAAUCACUACUAAACAGGCCAGAAAGAAGUGGAACAAUUUGAAGGAGAAAUAUAAGGUAAUCCUUCUAUGUGUCUGAUUUUAGAAACCCAUAAACCCAUUUCUUCUAAUGGCACUCUUUAGCUUUAGCUUGAAUGUGAAACUAAGAGACAACAAUGUGUAUGUGAUGGACACAAAAAUACUAAAUUAAAUAGGAUACAAUACAUUUUCAGGAGCUAAGGGAUCCACCAACAGGGAAAGGGGUAGAGGCUGGGGGGGUUACCGCUGCUAACUGGCAGUGGUACACCCAGAUGGAUGCCGCACUCCAGGGGAAGCAUGCCAUCAGUCCACCCCUCGUAGUGGCGGCAAACCUGACCCCCACUGCAGGCGGUGUGGUCAUGACACCAGUCUCUCCCCCUCCUCCUACUACCGCCACAGCCACCCAGCAGAGGAAGAGGUCCAGGGGCAGCCUGCUUGAUUUUCUACAGGAGCAGGCAGAGAGAGAGGAAGAGAGGGAGAGAGAGGCAGUGGCCAGAGAGGAGGAGAGGCAGAGGGCAGCCACAGACAGGGCAGACCGCUACUUGUGUCUCUGAGAGACUAGUGAAUACAUUUUAAUUGAAUGAAACUUUAUUGCGUGUUUUGUUCUUGAUUGUAAUGUAGGUGCAUCAGAAACUGUAUGUUAAUCGAUUAAAAGUCACUCAAUCAUUUGAAUUUUGUUUCAUAAUGGUUUUAUUUACAGAGACUGACAGCAGGACUAAACGUUGUCAUGAACUGCCAGCUCUUCAGCAAGUUGGGCAGCAAGGCGGACUCGGACUUGGUUGCCGGAGAGCUCCCGCUCUCGCACAUCUGCAGCUACAUUUUCGUCAACCUGACACUCCUCUAUAGGUUCUUCCUUCUCCUCUUCCUCUUCUAACUCUGCAUCGUUUGCGGUCACACAGAUGUUGUGGAGGAGGCAGCAGGCAGCAACCACUUUCGGUGCAAACAGAGGGUGGAUCUCUAGGGCUCGCAGGAAGAUGGACCUCCAACGUGUCUUCAGGAUGCCAAAAGUGCGUUCGAUGACAUUCCUGGCCUUGGCAUGAUGCUUGUUGAAGUCUUCCUCCACUCUGCCUGCACAUACAAGUUCCCGCGGAGGACGGACCCUCACAUGGCACCCAUCUAUGGCCCCGACCGCUGACUUGAAGACCUCACUACGAGCUCGGAGAGCAAAGCCAUCUCCAACUUCGACCAGCUGGUCUGCUCGGGGGAAAUGGAUGACAUCAUGAAGAAUGGUCAUCAUCUCUUCCACCACGUGUACAACUCUGCAAAUGGUCGGUAUUGGCAUGGCGAAGACGUCUGCUAUUACCCUGUAUGAGGCUCCGCAUGCCAACCAAUAGAUGGUGACCAACACCUCCAUCUCAUGGCUCCACCCAUGCUGCUUCUUGCGGGGCAGCCUCUCCAGCAGCAGCUCAAAGCUACGUCUGGAGAGCCGGAAGGAUGGAUGGAUGAAACACUGCAACACCUUUUUUUUAUUGUAAGGAAACCACAUUGUUUAUCAACAACUUAUCCAGGCAUCUUUUUGACUCCUACUCUCUAACUAUUAAAGAUGUUUUGUUUUAUUAUGAAAACCCUGAUAACAGCUCACUUGAAUAUGUUGUAUCACUUCCUUAUUUUGCACUCUAAAUUUGUUCUCCAUAAACAAAAAUGGCAGAAGGCACGACCUUCCUUUUGUGCCUUUACGGCAGAAGUAAACCUGCUCAUCAGUUCACUCAGAGUGGUUAAAGACAACAAAAAAAACGACAGACUCCUAUGUGUCCUUCACACAGUGUGGAAAGACUGAUCUCUUCCUCUCAUUGUAAUCAUAACAUAUGAUUUGUAUUAUGUCUUGUAUUUAUUUUCUCUUAUAAUAUUUUUUUAUUUAUUUUUAUUUGUUUAUUUAUUUUUGUUGAUGUUUUCCUUUAUGUUUGUGUUCUACUGUCUCUAGUCUCAAUUUUUGUAUAUUAAUAAAAAAAACAAUUCA